GUGAUUCAUAUGUAACUUUUCUGAAUCUGCAUGUACCUUUACGUCGGCGAUGGUUCAUUUCAAAUUUCUUGUCCCUCAUCAAGGUUUCGAUGGGUAGUGAGUAGUAGGCCUACCACGCUUUUUACAGGGUAACAGGCGAAUUAGGGUUCGAUUCCGCGAGAGGGAGCCUGAGAAACGGUACCACAUCUAAGGAAGGCAGCAGGCGCGCAAAUUUACCCAAUCCUGAUUCAGGGAGGUAUGUGACAAUAUAAUAUACAAUCCAGGACGUUCGGUCUGUGGUAAUUGGAAUGAGAACAAUUUAAAUCUCUUAUCGUAGGAACAAUUGGAGGGCAAGUCUGGUGCCAGCGAGCCGCGGUAAUUCCAGCUCCCAAUAGCGUAUAUUAAGUUGUUGCAGUUAAAUAGCUCGUAGUUGAAUCUUGGGGCUGGAAUUUGGCGGUCGCGUCUUUGACAGUGUACUGUCGGCGGUUCUUUUACUUGUGGGGAACGUAUGUGCCCUUUGCGGGGUGUGUACGGGAACCAUGGCUGUUACUUUGAACAAAAUUAGAGUGUUUAAAGCGGGCGUAAGCUUGUUACAUUA
rnacentral:rRNA from 1 species